GUACACUCCUACGGGAGGCAGCAGUGGGGAAUAUUGAACAAUGGGCGCAAGCCUGAUCCAGCCAUGCCGCGUGAGUGAUGAAGGCCCUAGGGUUGUAAAGCUCUUUCACCGGUGAAGAUAAUGACGGUAACCGGAGAAGAAGCCCCGGCUAACUUCGUGCCAGCAGCCGCGGUAAUACGAAGGGGGCUAGCGUUGUUCGGAUUUACUGGGCGUAAAGCGCACGUAGGCGGACUAUUAAGUCAGGGGUGAAAUCCCGGGGCUCAACCCCGGAACUGCCUUUGAUACUGGUAGUCUUGAGUUCGAGAGAGGUGAGUGGAAUUCCGAGUGUAGAGGUGAAAUUCGUAGAUAUUCGGAGGAACACCAGUGGCGAAGGCGGCUCACUGGCUCGAUACUGACGCUGAGGUGCGAAAGCGUGGGGAGCAAACAGGAUUAGAAACCCUGGUAGUCCCA
rnacentral:rRNA from 1 species